rnacentral:rRNA from 1 species
UGGGGAAUAUUGGACAAUGGGGGGAACCCUGAUCCAGCCAUGCCGCGUGUGUGAAGAAGGCCUUAUGGUUGUAAAGCACUUUAAGCGAGGAGGAGGGUACUGGUAUUAAUACUACCAGCUACUGGACGUUACUCGCAGAAUAAGCACCGGCUAACUCUGUGCCAGCAGCCGCGGUAAUACAGAGGGUGCGAGCGUUAAUCGGAUUUACUGGGCGUAAAGCGUGCGUAGGCGGCUAAUUGAGUCGGAUGUGAAAUCCCCGAGCUUAACUUGGGAAUUGCAUUCGAUACUGGUUAGCUAGAGUGUGAGAGAGGAUGGUAGAAUUCCAGGUGUAGCGGUGAAAUGCGUAGAGAUCUGGAGGAAUACCGAUGGCGAAGGCAGCCAUCUGGCCUAACACUGACGCUGAGGUACGAAAGCAUGGGGAGCAAACAGG